GAUGAACGCUGGCGGCGUGCCUAACACAUGCAAGUCGAACGGACACACGAGGAGCUUGCGCUCCUGACGGUGGCGGGGGGCGGGCGAGUAAGACGUGGAUAACAUACCUAUUUGACUUGGAUAAUAACGGGGGACAACAGAUAAUACUACAUCAUACAACCAACGGCAGAGAGCAAGAGUGAAAGACGGCUUUGCUGACAGAAAGAGACGGAGCCGGGCCGCAUUAGCUAGUUGGUAAGGGAACGGCAUACCAAGGCCACGAUGCGUAGCUGAGCUGAGAGGGUGAUCGGCCACACUGGAACUGAGACACGGUCCAGACUCCUACGGGAGGCAGCAGUAGGGAAUCUUCCGCAAUGGGCGAAAGCCUGAUGGAGCAACACCGCGUGAGUGAUGAAGGUCUUCGGAUCGUAAAGCUCUGUUGUUGGGAAAGAACAAAAGUGUAAUUAACUCUGCACGUCUUGACGGUACCUAAACAAAAAGCCCCGGCUAACUACGUG
rnacentral:rRNA from 1 species